rnacentral:tRNA from 1 species
GCGAGAGUAGCUCAGUGGUAGAGCUCCACCUUGCCAAGGUGGUUGUCGCGAGUUCAAGUCUCGUCUCUCGCUCCA